rnacentral:rRNA from 1 species
AAGCGCUCUACUGGGUCGCACCUGACCCUCAGGGACGAAGCUUAAGGUAGCGAAAGGGAUUAGAUACCCCUGUAGUCUUAGCCGUAAGCGAUGGAUACUAGGCGUGGUUUGUAUCGACCCAAAGCCGUGCCGAAGCUAACGCGUUAAGUAUCCCGCCUGGGGAGUACGCACGCAAGUGUGAAACUCAAAGGAAUUGACGGGGGCCCGCACAAGCGGUGGAGGAUGUGGUUUAAUUCGAUGCAACGCGAAGAACCUUACCAGGGCUUGACAUCCCGCGAAUCUUGCUGAAAGGUGAGAGUGCCUUCGGGAGCGCGGAGACAGGUGGUGCAUGGCUGUCGUCAGCUCGUGUCGUGAGAUGUUGGGUUAAGUCCCGCAACGAGCGCAACCCUCGUCCUUAGUUGCCAGCAUUAAGUUGGGCACUCUAGGGAGACUGCCGGUGACAAACCGGAGGAAGGUGAGGAUGACGUCAAGUCAGCAUGCCCCUUAUGCUCUGGGCGACACACGUCCUACAAUGGUCGGGACAAAGGGGAGCAAGCUCGCGAGAGUAAGCGAAUCCCAGCAAACUCGGCCUCAGUUCAGAUUGCAGGCUGCAACUCGCCUGCAUGAAGGAGGAAUCGCUAGUAAUCGCAGGUCAGCAUACUGCGGUGAUUCGUUCCCGGGCCUUGUACACACCGCCCGUCACACCAUGGAAGCUGCGCAAGCCCGAAGUCGUUACCCUAACCGUUUGGAGGGGGCGCCGAAGGCUGGGCUAGUGACUGGGGUGAAG